rnacentral:lncRNA from 10 species
AGACAGAGUUUCUCUCUUGUCACCAAGGCUGGAGUGCAGUGGCGCGAUCUCGACUCACUGCAACCUUCGCCUCCUGGGUUCAAGCGAUUCUCCUGCCUCAGCCUCCCGGGUAGCUGGGACUACAGGCGCGUGCCACCACGCGCAGCUAAUGUUUGUAUUUUUAGUAGAGACAGGGUUUCACCAUCUUGGCCAGGCUGGCUUCAAACUCCUGACCUUGUGAUCCACCCACCUCGGCCUCCCAAAGUGCU